rnacentral:rRNA from 1 species
AUUGAACGCUGGCGGCAGGCCUAACACAUGCAAGUCGAGCGAGCGGCGGACGGGUGAGUAAUGUAUGGGGACUGCCCGAUCGAGGGGGAUAACUACUGGAAACGGUAGCUAAUACCGCAUAAUAUAGGAUAACACAUAUGGGAUUGGAUAGUAGGUGAGGUAAUGGCUCACCUCGGCGACGAUCCCUAGCUGGUCUGAGAGGAUGAUCAGCCACACUGGUACUUGGACACGGCCCAGACUCCUAGGGAGGCAGCAGUGGGGAAUAUUGCACAAUGGGCGCAAGCCUGAUGCAGCCAUGCCGAGUGUAUGAAGAAGGCCCUAGGGUUGUAAAGUACUUUCAGUCGGGAGGCGUUACCGACAGAAGAAGCACCGGCUAAGUCCGUGCCAGCAGCCGCGGUAAUAC